GCUGGGCGUGGUGGCAUAUGCCCGUAAUCCCAGUGGCUCAGGAGGCUGAGGCAGGGGCAUCACCAGCCUCAGCAAUUUUAGGAGACCCUAAGCAACUUAGUGAGACCCUUUCUCAA
rnacentral:sRNA from 1 species